rnacentral:rRNA from 1 species
GACGAACGCUGGCGGCGUGCCUAACACAUGCAAGUCGAACGGAACUGUUUUGAAAGAUUUCUUCGGAAUGAAUUUGAUUUAGUUUAGUGGCGGACGGGUGAGUAACGUGUGAGUAACCUGCCUUCAAGAGGGGAAUAACAUUCUGAAAAGAAUGCUAAUACCGCAUGACAUAUCGGAACCACAUGGUUUUGAUAUCAAAGAUUUUAUCGCUUGAAGAUGGACUCGCGUCCGAUUAGUUAGUUGGUGAGGUAACGGCUCACCAAGACCGCGAUCGGUAGCCGGACUGAGAGGUUGAACGGCCACAUUGGGACUGAGACACGGCCCAGACUCCUACGGGAGGCAGCAGUGGGGGAUAUUGCGCAAUGGGGGCAACCCUGACGCAGCAACGCCGCGUGAAGGAUGAAGGUUUUCGGAUUGUAAACUUCUUUUAUUAAGGACGAAAAAUGACGGUACUUAAUGAAUAAGCUCCGGCUAACUACGUG